GACGAACGCUGGCGGCGUGCCUAAUACAUGCGAGUUGAGCGAUGAAGAUUGGUGCUUGCACCAAUUUGAAGAGCAGCGAACGGGUGAGUAACGCGUGGGGAAUCUGCCUUUGAGCGGGGGACAACAUUUGGAAACGAAUGCUAAUACCGCAUAACAACCUUAAACAUAAGUUUUAAGUUUGAAAGAUGCAAUUGCAUCACUCAAAGAUGAUCCCGCGUUGUAUUAGCUAGUUGGUGAGGUAAAGGCUCACCAAGGCGAUGAUACAUAGCCGACCUGAGAGGGUGAUCGGCCACAUUGGGACUGAGACACGGCCCAAACUCCUACGGGAGGCAGCAGUAGGGAAUCUUCGGCAAUGGACGAAAGUCUGACCGAGCAACGCCGCGUGAGUGAAGAAGGUUUUCGGAUCGUAAAACUCUGUUGGUAGAGAAGAACGUUGGUGAGAGUGGAAAGCUCAUCAAGUGACGGUAACUACCCAGAAAGGGACGGCUAACUACGUG
rnacentral:rRNA from 1 species